UCGAGAAUUUUUCACAAUGGGGGAAACCCUGAUGGAGCGACGCCGCGUGGGGGAUGAAUGGCUUCGGCCCGUAAACCCCUGUCAUUUGCGAACAAACCUGGUGGUUGAACAAACUGCCAGCUGAUAGUAGCAGAAGAGGAAGGGACGGCUAACUCUGUGCCAGCAGCCGCGGUAAUACAGAGGUCCCAAGCGUUGUUCGGAUUCACUGGGCGUAAAGGGUGCGUAGGCGGUGGGGUAAGUUUGAGGUGAAAUCUCCGGGCUCAACCCGGAAAUUGCCUUGAAGACUAUCCUGCUAGAGGAUCGGAGGGGAGACUGGAAUUCUCGGUGUAGCAGUGAAAUGCGUAGAUAUCGAGAGGAACACCAGUGGCGAAGGCGAGUCUCUGGACGAUUCCUGACGCUGAGGCACGAAAGCCAGGGGAGCAAACG
rnacentral:rRNA from 1 species